AAACAAAGCCUCUGGGGAAUGCGUGUUUCCUAUAAUAAAACAAGGCCUGUGGAGGUGUUACUCCCUAGAGCCCUUAAGCCACAAAUGUUAAUUAAUAUCCAUAUCAAAGAAUAUAUCUGAGCCCAUGCUCCUUCACUAGCUACCUGAGUUAACAUUCUGCCUCAUGUUGACAGCAUGGUUUACUAAAUAAUUUAAGCUUACUAUUGAGACUCUUAUGAAGAAGGAAGGGUUCCUUUCAAAAUACUACUGUUCACUGACAAUGCACCUGGUCACCCAAGAUCUCUGAUGGGGAUUGUUAUUGUUUUCAUGCCUGCUAAUACAACAUGAAUUCUGCAGCCCAUAAAUCAAAGAGAAAUUUCAACUUUCAAGUCUGAUUAUUUAAGAAAUACAUUUCAUAAGGCUGCCAUAGAGGUGGUUCCUCUGAUGGAUCUGGGCAAAGUAAAUUGAAAAACUCCUGGAAAGAAUUUACCAUUCUCGAUGCCAUUAAGAACAUUCAGGAUUCCUGGGAAGAAGUCAAAAUAUCAACAUUAACAGGGGUUUGGAAUAAGCAGAUUCCAGCUCCUAUGGAUGACUUGGAGGAGUUCAAGAGCUCAGUUAAAGAACUAACUGAAGAUGAGGCAGAAAGAGCAAAAGAAUUUGAUUAGAAGUGGAGCCUGGAGUUCCUUGUGGCUCGAGGGUUAAGAAUCCAGCGUUGUCACUGCUGCAGCUCUAGUCAGUGCUGUGGCAUGGGUUCCAUCCCUGACCUGGGAACUUCUGCAUGCUGCAGGUGUGGCCAAAACAACAACAGCAACAAAAAAAGUGGAGCCUGAAGAAAUGACUGAUUUGCUGUAAUCUCAUGAUAAAACUUUAAUAGAUGAGGAUUUGCUUCUUAUGGAAGAGUAAAGAAAGUGGUUCUAGAGAUGGAAUCUACUCUGGUUAAGAUACUGUGAAAAUUGUUGAAAUGACAACAGAGGAUUUAGAAUAUUACACAAAUGUAGUUGACAAAGCAAUGGCAGGGUUUGAAAGGAUUGACUCCAGUUCUGAAAGAAGUUUUACUGGGUAAAAUGCUAUUAAACAGCAUCACAUGCUACAGAGAAAUUUUUUUCUGAAAGGAAGACUCAAUAGAUGCAGCAAACUUCAUUGUUAUCUUGCUUUAAGAAACUGUCACAGCCACCCAAACCUUCAGCAAUCACCCUGAUCAGUCAACAGCCAUCAACAUGGGAGGUAAGACCUUCCACCAAUAAACUGAUUAUUCUUGCUAAAGGUUCACAUGAUGGUUAGCAUUUUUAAUAAUAAGUACUUUAGGGAGUUCCCGUUGUGGUGCAGUGGAAACGAAUCCGACUAGGAACCAUGAGGUUGCAGGUUUGAUCCCUGGCCUUGCUCAUCGGGUUCGUUAACCACUGAGCCACAACAGGAACCCUAGAAUUCAUUUCUUUUAUAUUAGAGAAAGUAUUUAGUGCCAUAAGCUGAGCCAAACAAAGUUUCUGAAAUUAACCCAACUCACACACAAGAGUUCUAAUACCUGAAAAUAUAUUCUAUGUCCUGAACAAUUGCUUUCCAAGCCCCAUAUAGGUGAUUCUUGAAGUGUGGUCUAGGGUGCUCUUUGAAAAUGCACAUGCACAGAUAGACCUCAGCCUCCUGCAGACAAAGCUCUGGGACCCUGGGAAGUGGAAUUUUAACAGGAAUUCCCCAAGGUGAUUCUGAAUGCCUAGUGAAACUGGAAAACCACUUUUUCUUAGGUGAAUAAGUUCUGAUCCACAUUUAAGUGAAAUGCUUGCUUCUUUCCACCACUGCUUAACACAUCUCAUCCUUGGGCAUGCUAUGUUCCAUCUGAACAUUUCCAUGCCUUUGAUUAGGCUAUGGCCUUCACAGGCCCCAGCCCCAUCUUUCUCACCCUCUGAUAUCCAACUCAAGUAUUCCCUCCUAUAAGGAGGUUUGGCCUCUCUGUUAUCCUAGUCCUUUUGUUUGUAUUUUUCAUAGCAUCACUACCUUCUGCCUUCUAUUGCAGUUACCUGUACACAUGCUUUAUCUCCCAGUUACUAGCUUGUUCACUCCAUGAGGUCAGGUCCUGUAGGUCUGUUUAUACCUGAUACCACCUAACUCAUUGCCUUGUGCUAUAUGUACAGUAAAUGACUAUAGAAUUGAACUACUGAAUAUUAGAUACUAGUUAAUUCAAACCCAAGCUUAAUACUUUUAAGUCAUUCACUGAGAUAAGUGUUCCCUCUUACCAUGUGCUCAGAUUCUUAUUAGAAUCUCAGAGUAGGUCUCCCUGUAAGCAAAAAUAUAUGAGGCCUGCUAUUUUACUUGUUUCUUUGUCUUACUUAUCUGCUGUUUGUAUAAUGUUAUUCUGACUUAGAUUUUUUUAAAUAAACUUUAACAAUAUUUUCCAUGCAAAAAAUAUUUGUUAAUAUUUUAAGUCCUCAGCUGAAACAUAUAUAAAGUAUAUUAGUUAUGCUGGAAAAUAAAUUACAUUACAGUAUGCUACUACAGACCAUUUGUUUUGUAAAUAUUUCAGAUAUUCAUUUUUUUUCUUUUUUAACCGGGAACUAUAUGGCCUUAAAUAUUUGAUAGCUUUGUAUGAUUAACCAAUAGUCAACGGCUACAAAUUGUUUAACUGCGUCUAAUUUGACUUAAGACUCAUAUCGUAGACCCUAAUAUAGUAUAAAAACCAUGCAAGCCAUGGUAUGGAUUUUCAUGACCUAAGGAAUAAAUUCAGCCUUAUUGUAAGGCAAAGGUGUGUUUUACUUUGAUCCUAUCUAUAUUCUAGGAGUACAAAAAAAGAUUAGAGUGAUGGACAAGUGCUAUCAAUUUUAUCAUUCUUGAAAGAAGUAUGUCUCUCUCUCCAUGUUCUACUUUUCUGUCAUAUUGGGGUAUAAUCGACAUAUAACAUUAUGCUAGUUUCAGGUACAUAACAUAAUGAUUUGAUAUUUGUAUAUAUUGCAAAAUGAUCGCCACAAUAAAAGUCUAGUUAACAUCUAACAUGCAGAGUUACAAUUUUUUCUUCUGAUGAGGACUUUUAAGAUUUACUCUCUUAGAGACUUUCAAAUAUGCAACACAAUAUUGUUAACUGCAGUCACCAUGCUGGACCUUGCAUAUUAAUUGUUUUUAACACCCACAGAAAUGUAGAGAAAGACUGUUUGCAGGAUAUUUUAAAAAUUAUACUUGAAAAAUAAAAUAAUUCAAGCCAACAUGAGCCAAACCUGUUCUAAUCAGAAUAGUGAUUCUUUUUUUUUGUCUUUUUGUCUUUUCUAGGGUCGCACCCGCAGCAUAUGGAGGUUCCCAGGCUAGGGGUCUAAUCGGAGCAAUAGCCGCUGGCCUAUACCAGAGCCAUAGCAACACAGGAUCCGAGCCAAGUCUGUGACCUACACCACAGCUCAUGGCAAUACCGGAUCCUUAACCCACUGAGCAAGGCUAGGGAUCAAAUCCGAAACUUCAUGGUUCCUAGCCGGAUUCAUUAACCACUGAGCCAUGACAGGAAUUCCAGAAGAGUAAUUCUUUAUCUACCUCACUCUUCAAUUACAACACUCUAGAUGAGGAGCAGGAGCUGAGGAGAUGCCUCUCGCUGUCUUUCAGUGCCAAAGAUAAUCAGGGGAGACCAAAAUUGGGGCAGAGCUACUUGGAAAAGUUCUGAAGGUCUGGGAAAUGAUGCUUUUAAAAGGAAGGUGAUAUGUAAGCUUACCUCUUUCUGACACCUCAUGUUGUAAAAAGUGCUGUUGGGGACCACACAUUUCAUAAAGUUUCUAUUGCAGUUUAAUAGUUAUUUCAGUGGGUUGUGCUUUAACUCAGUUGAUAAUUAUAAUAGAACAUAAAAUGAUAUUGCAUUUUUAUUUAUGUUAGAGUUCUUGACCAUGGGAGCCCCUAGCUAUAACUGAAACCUAAUUAGGAGAAACAAACAUUGCUGACUCAGUUUCUGAAUUAGAGAGCAAAUGAAACACAGUAACCCCUGAUCUAAGAACAUAAAAUCAUUUCAAAAUAAAUAACUAAACAGGAUAUACCUUUGAAAAAUGCCCUAUACUUCUCCAACUAAAAAGGAAUAGCAAUGGGUAUUUUGUAAAACAGAGAAAAUUUGAUCCAUUGCUAAUUCCUCCAUUCCAACAGUGUAUUUCACAAACAUCACAUGUCAGUUAGG
rnacentral:lncRNA from 1 species